UUGCACAUGUAGACGAUUAGCCUACUCUAGUGCGCUACUUGCACAUUGCCAACCUGCAGACGCAGUAAGCCCAUCACCUGUUUUUAUUGCUAGAUUUUGAGAAAAAGUUUUUAGCGAUGAAACAACAAUGGAAUCAGCGAUGGAAGUUGAGACCUGUCCGUCCACAAGCGCACAGCACUCUAUCAUUCACGUCUGCUUGUUUCUCAAACUUCCCCACGGUUCGCUAUGAGCUGGAGCUUCCGGACGACGUGAGGCAAUUCUUAAAGGGACAGAUCUUCGGGCCAAAGGGUUCAGGCGCCACCAGCAGGCCCAACGUUAUAGCAACACAUCCCAAAAGCCAACAACGGAUUUCAAUUUGCGUUUUUCAAUGUUGAUUGCUGUUGUUGUUAUUGUUGUUCUUCUUCUUCUACUACUUUUUUGUAUUUGUUACAUAAUACUUAAUCUGUGUAUUGUCAGUUUAAAUCCCAGUAGGAGAAAUGCCCUAUUGUAUGCCUGAGUCAGGUACUUCACCUGAAUUUAUCCCGAAAUAUAAAUUUGGAUAUUCUCCAGUAUGAAGUUCGCUGCUCAGAUGUGAAACUGUGCCUUGCUGUGAACACGACUUUCUGCCCCUGUGCAAGGCUACACAUCUUGUCCUUAUUAUUGUUAUUAAUUGUAUCAGUGUUCCAAAGGUAUAUUUUAAUAUCUAAGAAUGCAAACUAAACUGCCCACUGAUGCUUUCUUUAGGGCUGAGUUGCCUACUCCUGACCCAGUCUGUUUACGUCUGCAGUCCACCCGUGUGACGUGUCCUGAACACACCUUACCUAAGCAUCCACGGCAGCAUGUGGCACAGAAGGAGGCCCAACACAGGCUGUGGGAACAUUUCAGAUGGAUCCCUGUAAUAUUUAUUAACAAGACCAAGCUUGUUGCCUUACACUCACAGGGAACAUAACAAGAGUACAAGGAGGCACUGAAUUGCACCAUCUGGGGACUAGGCCCCUAACCAGAUGGUUGCAGGUUCACACAUGGGGCUAUGUUCUUGUAAACCUGAGCAGGGUACUGUACUUUAGUUAUGUUUGUAAACAGAUAAAUUGUUCUCCGGAUACACAAGUACCUGCCUUUUGUUGCCCCAAGUGCUCCAUGCCCCUUUGGUUAGAUUCUUUUAAAUUUGAUUUGUAUUAUUAUUGUUGCUGUUAUUAAUUUUAGAGCAUAUGCCAUGGUAAAGUUUGGUAAAAUAUAUUUUGUACAAUAACUGGGUGUCAUAACAGUUUGGUGUGCCCUUUUCUCGCUUUGAGCCGCUGUCCUCGAAAGGUCUCUUCACGGCCGUUGUCAUUACAGCACUGUGAAAUGCAGCUCUAUGAAAAUGAACCUUGUUUGCCCUGCCGUGGGGUAGUGGAGCAUUCUCUGGACAAGCUUUUACAGUCAUUACUGAGUCGCAUUUCUUCCAUUGCUUGGAACACAGCUUGUUAAUUUCACUGCAUUUUGAAGUUGGAAAUCAUAUUUUUGCGUCUCCUGAUGUCAUAUGAUGCUGCACCAGGGCAGUGUUUCUUCUUGGCAGAGGUGAACAGAAGCCUGUUACCAGGGACAACAAGCGAGUGGUAAACAAAUAGCUGCCAUUAUGUGGCUGUCACCAUGAUGGUGUCAUUUUGAAUUUAGCUCUGAGGGUACAGAAAGGCAAAGGGAAACCUCCUUAUUUCAUAGUAUGUUUCUCCCCUCCUCCAGAGGUUUCAUCCCUCUACAAUGAACACAAGUCUUUAUUGACAAGGGACAUGUAUUACAUUUGAAAGUAAAAUAACAUUUAAAGUAAUGGCUUCCAAUUUCCAUAUCACAUGGUUUUUUCACACUCUUUAGGCAGCACGAAA